GGAUGCGUGCCUGAACACCUAAGGAUUACUUUGAUAGAGUAAAUCAUAGGGGCUAAAAUCCCCUCGCCUCCU
rnacentral:tRNA from 1 species